rnacentral:rRNA from 1 species
AGCGAACGUUUGCGGCGGGCCUAACACAUGCAAGUCGAACGGGCUAGCAAUAGUCAGUGGCGCACGGGUGCGUAACACGUGGGUAAUCAACCCUUCAGCUCGGGAUAACGCCUUGAAAGGGGCGCUAAUACCGGAUGCGACGCGAGGAGCCUCGGCGCUUCGCGGGAAAGAUUCGCAAGGAUCACUGAAGGACGAGCCUGCGGCCCAUCAGCUAGUUGGUAGGGUAAAGGCCUACCAAGGCCACGAUCGGUAGCUGGUCUGAGAGGAUGAUCAGCCACACUGGGACUGAGACACGGCCCAGACUCCUACGGGAGGCAGCAGUGGGGAAUAUUGGACAAUGGGCGCAAGCCUGAUCCAGCAAUGCCGCGUGUGUGAAGAAGGCCUGCGGGUUGUAAAGCACUUUCAGUGGGAAGAACAGAUUCGGGUCAAUACCCCGGAGCCCUGACGUUACCCACAGAAGAAGCACCGGCUAACUCCGUGCCAGCAGCC